GCUGAGGCAAGAAGACACUGCCAGCCACCAUCAUGAAUACCAACAUGUAAAAUACUGGAUGGGGCCCACGGCACCUUCCCAGGGAGCUCUGUCCAGGUAUAGGCAUUGGCUAGAGUUCUCCGCAACCUGCAGAGCCAACAGCUUAGAGAUGUGAAAAGAGGACUCUCUUCCAGGGCCCGAAAGAACAGCCAUUGUCUACCCAGCUCUACUCUGCCAUAGAACCUCAGCUUUCCAGCGUUUUUCAAAUCUCAGUUUGAAAGAAAAUGAGGAAGAGGAGCCAGAGUGUAGACUGAGAACCCUGGUGUUUACUGCUUAAAGGAACCAGAAGUUCAUGGCAGCCUGGCUGGACUGAGAAAAACCUGCUCAGCUUAGGAAAAAACCCAGCAGCAGCAAAAAACAUGUUCGAUCUGGCCAGAGCUCCAGGGGCUGUACCACCCCCAUCAGGCCACCCUCCUAGGGCCUGUUCCACACUGGCAACUCAGAGACGCAGCACUCAGUCUCCGGGCAGCAAUUCUCCUGAGGCACAUGGUCCCUGAAAGCCAGCUCUGCAGACUUUUCUCGGCACCCAGCAGACGUUAGGCCACGUGCAAGAGAGAGAAGGAGGGCAGGAGGAAGACGGCUCUGCUGGCUGGCCUUGGCCCCUGAAGAAAACAAGCCGUGGCAGGGGAGAAACAUACUGUUCCCUACAAUCUGAUCAACUGUAAACCUCUGGCCUGCACACCCGGAUGCCGAGGCCCAGGGGCGAAACUGAUUAGACAGGCAGGAAAGAGGAGCGAGAGACUGUUCCUGGGCAGAUGAGAAACACGUUGUGAGGAAGGGGGGUACCGUGAGUGUGUGUGUGUGUGUGUGUGUGUGUGUGUGUGUGUGUGUGUGUGUG